rnacentral:rRNA from 1 species
UCCGUAGGUGAACCUGCGGAGGGAUCAUUACACAAUAUGAAAGCGGGCUGGACUCCCCCCAGCAGUGCGUUGCUUUGCGGCGUGCGCUGUUGGGGCCAGCCUUGCUGAAUUAUUCACCCGUGUCUUUUGCGUACUUCUUGUUUCCUUGGUGGGUUCGCCCACCACAAGGACAAACCAUAAACCUUUUGUAAUUGCAAUCAGCGUCAGUAACAAUAAUAAUAAUUACAACUUUCAACAACGGAUCUCUUGGUUCUGGCAUCGAUGAAGAACGCAGCGAAAUGCGAUAAGUAGUGUGAAUUGCAGAAUUCAGUGAAUCAUCGAAUCUUUGAACGCACAUUGCGCCCUUUGGUAUUCCAAAGGGCAUGCCUGUUCGAGCGUCAUUUGUACCCUCAAGCUUUGCUUGGUGUUGGGCGUCUUGUCUCCAGUUCGCUGGGGACUCGCCUUAAAGUUAUUGGCAGCCGGCCUACUGGUUUCGGAGCGCAGCACAAGUCGCGCUCUCUUCCAGCCAAGGUCAGCAUCCACAAAGCCUUUUUUCAACUUUUGACCUCGGAUCAGGUAGGGAUACCCGCUGAACUUAAGCAUAUCAAUAAGCGGAGGA